UGGCUCAGUGGUAGAGCGCUUGCCUUGCAUGCAAAAGGCCCUGAGUUCCAUUCCUCAG
rnacentral:tRNA from 1 species